AAUGGAUUAAGUUUUUUAUUCAGUACUUGCUCACCCAAGAAUUGAGAGAGUUUGGCUAUGAUCUAUUCAGUACUCACAGAUUUAAAUAUGGAUUCACUUAAAGAUAUUUGUUCAAGAUUCAAGAGUUCCCAGAUUAUACUAAAACUUGGAAUCCUUUUUUCCAUGUGAAAAUGAGAAGUCACCGUCUGUCCUUGUUCAAGUAGAAAUAGGCACGUGUUUUUAUUUUCUCCUUUGACUAGAAGAGUAUUUCUAUAAAUAGGGAUUACCCUAGCCUAGAAAUGGAAUACGUUUCCUAUUCAGCACUUGCCCAUUCGGGUAUUGAGAUAGUUCGGCCGUAAAUUUGGGAUCACUGUAAAAGACCGCAGAUGAAGACGGAUUCGCUUUAAGAUAUUUGGUCAUGCUUCAA